CAAAAUACCUAUAAUAAAAUAUUAUAAUUAUAGAAAAUGAUAAUAUUAAUAUAUAAUAAUAACAAUUAUAAUAAUUUAUACCUUUAUUAUUAUAUUAUACCAUAAAUAUAAUAUAAUAUUAUAUUAUAUCAUAAUAUAUUGAUAUGUUAUGUUAUAUAAUACUAAAUUAUGUUAUAUUAUUAUGCUAUAGUAUACAAUAUUAUAUUACUAUAUUAUAAUAAUAUUAUAUUACAUUACAAUAAUAUUAUACUAUAUCAUAUAUUUAUGUAUUAAUAAAUAUUAUAUUUUAUUAUGCCCUGUUGUUUAAUACUAUGAAAUGUUUUUUAUAGUCAUUUUGUCAUACCAAAAGUAUUUUCUUAGUUUGUUUACUAAAUACAUAUUAAAGUUCCACAACACUUUAGAAAUAUAAUUACCAAACAGCAAAUAGCUUUUUAUAAAAACCCUACUUCCGAAAACUCUACUACCAACAGCUCUGUCAAACGAGGCCUUAGAUGACUAUUCUCUUUUAUCCAUAAAAGAAAGCAAAAUACACAAGCAGCCAUGUGUGGCCAUUCUCUUU
rnacentral:lncRNA from 1 species